ACGUAAGGAGCAAGCGUUGUCCGGAUUUACUGGGCGUAAAGAGCUCGUAGGCGGCCGAUCAGGUGUCGCGUAAAAUCCCCCGGAUCAACCGGGGAGGGUCGCGGGAAACCGAACGGCUUGAGGACAGAAAAGGAAAGUGAAAUUCCCAGUGUAGCGGUGAAAUGCGUAGAUAUCGGGAGGAACACCAGUGGUGAAGACGGCUUUCUGGUCUGUUACUGACCCUGAGGAGCGAAAGCCAGGGGAGGGAACCU
rnacentral:rRNA from 1 species